AUAACAUUACGAUGUGGCAUCACCAUUGUGAUUAAAAACUCCGGUGGUUGAGGAUGAGCAUGCGUCUGAUUAGUUAGUUGGAGGUGUAACGGACCCCCCAAGACGAUGAUCAGUAGGGGAACUGAGAGGUUGAUCCCCCCACACUGGCACUGAGAUACGGGCCAGACUCCUACGGGAGGCAGCAGUAGGGAAUAUUGGUCAAUGGGUGAGAGCCUGAACCAGCCAUCCCGCGUGCAGGAUGAAUGCCCUAUGGGUUGUAAACUGCUUUUAUCUGGGAAUAAACCACUCUAUUUAUGGGGUGUUGAAGGUACCAGAAGAAUAAGCACCGGCUAACUCCGUG
rnacentral:rRNA from 1 species